UACGAAGGGUGCAAGCGUUACUCGGAAUUACUGGGCGUAAAGCGUGCGUAGGUGGUUUUUUAAGUCCGUUGUGAAAGCCCUGGGCUCAACCUGGGAAUGGCAGUGGAUACUGGAAAGCUAGAGUGCGGUAGAGGGUAGUGGAAUUCCCGGUGUAGCAGUGAAAUGCGCAGAUAUCGGGAAGAACACCCGUGGCGAAGGCGGUUCUCUGGGACGGUACUGACGCUGAGACGCGAAAGCGUGGGGAGCGAACCGG
rnacentral:rRNA from 1 species